rnacentral:lncRNA from 1 species
CAAUGGAUAUGGAUGGGGCUAGACAAGAGAACAGGUUGUCAUCAGGGACAAUGGAUAUGGAUGGGGCUAGACAAGAGAACAGGUUGUCAUCAGGGACAAUGGAUAUGGAUGGGGCUAGACAAGAGAACAGGUUGUCAUCAGGGACAAUGGAUAUGGAUGGGGCUAGACAAGAGAACAGGUUGUCAUCAGGGACAAUGGAUAUGGAUGGGGCUAGACAAGAGAACAGGUUGUCAUCAGGGACAAUGGAUAUGGAUGGGGCUAGACAAGAGAACAGGUUGUCAUCAGGGACAAUGGAUAUGGAUGGGGCUAGACAAGAGAACAGGUUGUCAUCAGGGACAAUGGAUAUGGAUGGGGCUAGACAAGAGAACAGGUUGUCAUCAGGGACAAUGGAUAUGGAUGGGGCUAGACAAGAGAACAGGUUGUCAUCAGGGACAAUGGAUAUGGAUGGGGCUAGACAAGAGAACAGGUUGUCAUCAGGGACAAUGGAUAUGGAUGGGGCUAGACAAGAGAACAGGUUGUCAUCAGGGACAAUGGAUAUGGAUGGGGCUAGACAAGAGAACAGGUUGAGGCAUGUUUCCUGAAGAUUUAAAUGAAAAGUCGUCCCCCUAGCAACUACUACCCACUCGCUCUCUUGUCGACAACAAACGUCUCUUUCUACCGGUGAACUUUAGUGACACAUUUGACUUUCACGUAGCUUAAACCCAUGUCAUUAUAGAUACAAUUAUAAAAGACUCAUCUGUGCAGAAUAGAGGGAAGACGAGGUGAAAAUAA